UUUUUUAAAAUCCAAAGACAUGAAAUAAAAUAAUUAGAAUCAAGAACAAAUAAAUUUAACAUCUUGAAAUAGUCUUAUGUAGCUCCAUGGUGGGUUAUACAAUCAGCCUUUUUAAAUUAUUAAAAAUAGCCACCUUUCUAGGCCCCUACAAGACCAAGGACCCUGGGCUUAGAGGAAUGUAUAGAAUAUAAUCAUUAACUGAGCUAGAAUGAAUUUUAUACAAGUAUAUAUACUUGAAAUCUAAAUGAAAAGUUCACUUUUCUUAGUCAUUCCAUUUUUCUCCUAAGAAUUUAUUUAGGCCUAAAAAUCCAGCUUUAUCUUUAACAAACUCUCCUUUAAUUUAAGUUCUGAAGUUCAGUGAGGUAAGCUAGUAGGAGAUUUAGAAAACAACAUCAGUAAGAGGAGCUAUCAUUUUUCAGGUGCCUACAAUGAACCAGUUCCUGACUAUGUUCUGUAAUUUACUUAUAUUGUCUCAUUUAAUCCUCACACAAACAACCCUGUGUUUCCCUCAUUUUACAGCUACAGAGAUUAGCUUCAAAGCCUAUGCUAAAAUCACAAAAUCCCUGAGUUGCCACCUUUAUGAGACUCACAACAUUUAAAAAGUGAUCUUCAUACCCGAAAAGUUUGAGAACCCAAACUUUUUCUGAUAAUUCAGCAUUUCAACUACCAUGUGGAGAUUGUCAAACAUCUCAAAUUUGCCUGUGUGGUGGAUUCCCAUAAGAUGGCCGGAUGCUCUCCCUUUACAGGAACACACGUGGUUGCAGCGACAACAGACAUCAUGUUAGCCCAGCCCCAAAAGCAGCCUUUUAAGUCAAUUUCAGACACGAGAGAUCCCAGGUCUCUUUCCUCUUGGUUUCAACGAAUUAAAAUGUUAUCCCCUAAUAAACAUCAAUCCUAUAAAUGAUCA